GGGCGUACCUCCCUUCCUUAUCCUUACCCCUGGUGUCUCCUAUUCCUCUCCACCCCUCUCACUCCCUCGCCGAUCUCUUCGAAGCCCGCGGUGCAUCAAGGCAAGCGCCCCGCCGGUCACCCGCUGUCAGCACAACCCGGAUUCCCGUCUUCCGCCUUCUGAAAGCCGUCCUCCCCAGUCGUUAUUCUUCUCUUCUUCGCGUUAGUUCUCUCCCCCGCUUUUUAAUCCUAUUCGCUCUCGCUUCCCUUCUCGCAAAAGAAAGGCAGGCAGAAAGAAAGAAAGGAAGAUACCCUUAAGAAAACCCCAGCUCGCGUUGGAGAAAUGCGGCAAGAUGGCUUCGAUCACGGCCUCGCGUCCCUCCACCUUCCUCCCCUCUCGCCUCUCUCGUCCUAGACUCCCUCCCUUCUCUCCCCUCGCCCUCCGGCAAGCCCCCCAAGAGCCCCCUUCUCUUUCGCUCGUCCAAUCCAAGAACGCCGGCCUAGGGCUCGCCGACCCAUGGCGGCGAACGCGGCGGAGGGGGCCGAGGAAGAGGGAGGCGAAGGGGGAGGACGCGUCCGGGCCGGAGGGGAAGCGGAAUCUGGAGGAGGAGUUAUGCAAGUUCAUGGAAACGUCCGAGAAGCCGGACUUCUUUCCGACCAGGGAGCAGCUGCUCGCCGCCGGCAGGAAGGAUCUGGCGGACGCUAUCGCCGCCGAGGGCGGAUGGCUCGCCUACGGAUGGAAUCUGGAGGAGGAGAGGGGUGACGGAGGCAAUCUUGAUUCUUUGAGGAGUCUUGAUUCUUCGAAUAAGGAUUCCCUUCAAGAAGAUGAGAGAAUGUCUCAGCCGCGGUUUUCUUCCGAGGCGAAUGAUGGUGGGCUUCCGCGUUCGGGGGAUUCUUGCACGGCUUCUUCUUCUGGGAGAUCGAUGGAAACGGAGGGUGGGGAGGAUGGUGGGAUUGAGGGAAUAUUGAGGAGGCUGGAGGUCGAGAGGAGCUUGGCGUUUGGCAUGGGCUCCAGCAAGAAAGGAGUGAAUGGUCGAGGUUCGUUUGGUCCAGGAGAUUCCAUAUCGUUUGGUCAUGAAACGAAAGUUGGUGGGAGUGAGAUGACCAGCAGAUCUGGUGGUGUUCAUUUACAAAAUGGAACAUCAGCAGAUGUUGAUGGCAAGAUAAGUUCAAAGCCUGAUACAUGGAGGAGUUGGAGCCUUCAGAGGGCGGGCAAUCCUGCAAUCAAAUUUGAAGCUGCUGAAAUUGUUCCAACUGGUGACAUAAAUAUAUUAGAUCAUGAUCGUUCAAAUGAAGUUUCUAUGGAUAGCAAGAUGCAACUAACCAAGAGUGCACCCAGAACUGGUACUGCAAGAAAUGAAUCGCACACUGACCAAAAUCAGAUACGUGUUCGCCUUCAGCACUUGGAGUCAGAUCUCACCUCUGCACUUCACUUACUUAGGUCAAGGACUAAGGAGAAGGGACAACAAAGCUCAGUGGAGGGGCUAUAUCAGCUUUCUGAUGCUUGGGAAUUUCAAGAGACCGAGAUAAUGAAAGCUCGAGAUAAGCUACGGUCAAUUCGUGCCAAACUGGCUGUACUUGAAGGCAAGAUGGCUCUUGAGUUGAUAGAAGCACGGAAAAUAAUGGAAGAGAAACAAAAAAGGCUUAAUGCUGCUGAGAAUGCUCUGCACCUUCUUCGUACGACAUGCAUAGUUUGGCCGAACUCUGCUAAAGAGGUUCUGUUGGCUGGAUCCUUUGAUGGAUGGACAAGUCAGUUUGCACCCUGCUUAUGGAAUCAUUCUCAGAAAUCUGACCAACUACCGCCCCUAGCUAUGCAUAUGGGGUUCAAAUGAUUUGGGCCCUGGGCCCAGGAUAUCUAAAAGUUUUGCACCUUUAGCAUGUGAAGUGCAUGGAAAGAGAAGGAUGGAACAAUCAAGUUCAGGCUUCUUUUCUUUGCACCUCAAAUUAUAUCCUGGCCGAUAUGAGAUCAAGUUCAUUGUUGAUGGUGUUUGGAAAAUUGACCCACUGCGCCCUAUUGUGCACAACAACGGUCACGAGAACAACCUCCUUAUCAUCCCUUGACUGCUGUGUACAUAAUCCAUUUUUUUUUAUUCAUUUUCGAUAAUCCAUAAUCAAGAAUUUAAGAUGUGGGAAUGUUAAAUCCUUUUUGGUGAAGUAAAUUUUUCCACAUUCUUAAAUGGAGAAUAUCCUUAUUGUAAGGCCUUAUUCAUUAUCUAACCGCUUGCCCCACAAAUCAUGGAGAAGCCUUUGGGGGUGUUUUCAAUCUGGUUGAUUUUGUUGUUGAACUUUAGUUCUUCAUAUAUUCCAGAUGGGAAAAAAUUGACAACA